rnacentral:lncRNA from 1 species
UAUUUUAUAUAUAUGACUUGUGCUCUAUCGUACUAUUAGUAUUGUGUAUGAUUCAAACGAGGAUUUGUCUUCAUUUUAUGAUGAAAUCAUGACCUCUGAUUUCAUGGUUGAAAAAUUUGACGAGGGGCUAUGACAGAGUGUAGCGGCGAUCAUGAGUAACGGUGAGAAGGUUUAAGAGAGAGAAUGGUCAGGGAGAGGUGAUUAUAAUUGAGAGAUUUAGAGUUUGUGAUACGAAUAUGAGUGAUUAUGUUCCUUCUUUGGAGAAUGUGGAACCUGUUUCUAAAGGAUUGGACUGUUUGUUGCCCAGGCCUAAAAGGUGCAAGCUUCCCCUGCCAUGGCCGGAAAGCAAGGA